rnacentral:rRNA from 1 species
UACGUAGGGUGCAGGCGUUAAUCGGAAUUACUGGGCGUAAAGCGUGCGCAGGCGGUUGUGCAAGACCGAUGUGAAAUCCCCGGGCUUAACCUGGGAAUGGCAUUGGUGACUGCACGGCUAGAGUGUGUCAGAGGGGGUAGAACUCCACGUGUGAGCAGUGAAAUGCGUAGAGAUGUGGAGGAAUACCGAUGGCGAAGGCAGCCCCCUGGGAUAACACUGACGCUCAUGCACGAAAGCGUGGGGAGCAAACAGG